AUUGAAUCAUAACUUUUACUCAAUCAAUUUUAUUAAUUUUUAUCAAUUCAAUUUAUUAUCUUUCACUAAUGAGUUAAAUUAGGUUAAUGAUGAUUUUAAUUUGUAUUUUGAAAAUUGUUGUAGAUAAUGUUUGAACCUGUAGGCUCUAUAUAAGAUGUAGAGUAAAGUAAGAUUUUUCAUCAUUUUGAAACCUUUAUAAUUUUAUGGUGUUUGAG
rnacentral:misc_RNA from 1 species